AACGAACGUUAGCGGCGCGCCUAACACAUGCAAGUCGAACGCGACAGGGGCAACUCUGUUGAGUGGCGCACGGGUGAGUAACACGUAGGUAAUCUCCCCCCGAGUGGUGGAUAACCUUCCGAAAGGAGGGCUAUUACAGCAUAAGACCACGGCUUCGAAAGGAGCUGAGGUCAAAGCGGAGGAUCGCAAGACUUCGCGCUUGGGGAUGAGCCUGCGGCCCAUCAGGUAGUUGGCGGGGUAACAGCCCACCAAGACUAAGACGGGUAGCUGGUCUGGGAGGAUGAUCAGCCACACUGGAACGAGGACACGGUCCAGACUCCUACGGGAGGCAGCAGUGGGGAAUCUUGCGCAAUGGACGAAAGUCUGACGCAGCGACGCCGCGUGGGUGAUGAAGGCCUUCGGGUUGUAAAGCCCUGUGGGGAGGGACGAAUAAGUUUCAGCUAAUACCUGAAGCGAUGACGGUACCUCCUUAGCAAGCACCGGCUAACUCUGUGCCAGCCGCCGCCGUAA
rnacentral:rRNA from 1 species